rnacentral:rRNA from 1 species
GAUGAACGCUGGCGGCGUGCCUAAUACAUGCAAGUCGAGCGAAUGGAUUAAGAGCUUGCUCUUAUGAAGUUAGCGGCGGACGGGUGAGUAACACGUGGGUAACCUGCCCAUAAGACUGGGAUAACUCCGGGAAACCGGGGCUAAUACCGGAUAACAUUUUGAACCGCAUGGUUCGAAAUUGUAAGGCGGCUUCGGCUGUCACUUAUGGAUGGACCCGCGUCGCAUUAGCUAGUUGGUGAGGUAACGGCUCACCAAGGCAACGAUGCGUAGCCGACCUGAGGGGGUGAGCGGCCACACUGGGACUGAGACACGGCCCAGACGCCUACGGGAGGCAGCAGUAGGGAAUCUUCCGCAAUGGACGAAAGUCUGACGGGGCAACGCCGCGUGAGUGAUGAAGGCUUUCGGGUCGUAAAACUCUGUUGUUAGGGAAGAACAAGUGCUAGUUGAAUAAGCUGGCACCUUGACGGUACCUAACCAGAAAGCCACGGCUAACUACGUGCCAGCAGCCGCCGUAA